GGGCGUAUGGCAAAAUGGUUACCGCGCUUGACUACGAAUCAAGAGAUUCCAGGUUCGACCCCUGGUACGCUCG
rfam:Rhizoclosmatium globosum strain JEL800 BCR33scaffold_54, whole genome shotgun sequence.